AUGAACGCUGGCGGCGUGCCUAAUACAUGCAAGUCGAGCGAACAGAUGAGGAGCUUGCUCCUCUGACGUUAGCGGCGGACGGGUGAGUAACACGUGGAUAACCUACCUAUAAGACUGGGAUAACUUCGGGAAACCGGAGCUAAUACCGGAUAAUAUAUUGAACCGCAUGGUUCAAUAGUGAAAGACGGUUUUGCUGUCACUUAUAGAUGGAUCCGCGCCGCAUUAGCUAGUUGGUAAGGUAACGGCUUACCAAGGCAACGAUGCGUAGCCGACCUGAGAGGGUGAUCGGCCACACUGGAGCUGAGACACGGUCCAGACUCCUACGGGAGGCAGCAGUAGGGAAUCUUCCGCAAAGGGCGAAAGCCUGACGGAGCAACGCCGCGUGAGUGAUGAAGGUCUUCGGAUCGUAAAACUCUGUUAUUAGGGAAGAACAAAUGUGUAAGUAACUAUGCACGUCUUGACGGUACCUAAUCAGAAAGCCACGGCUAACUACGUG
rnacentral:rRNA from 1 species